UACGGAGGAUGCAAGCGUUAUCCGGAAUGAUUGGGCGUAAAGCGUCCGCAGGUGGCAAUGUAAGUCUGCUGUUAAAGAGUGAGGCUCAACCUCAUAAGAGCAGUGGAAACUACAUGGCUAGAGUGCGUUCGGGGCAGAGGGAAUUCCUGGUGUAGCGGUGAAAUGCGUAGAUAUCAGGAAGGACACCGGUGGCGAAAGCGCUCUGCUAGGCCGCAACUGACACUGAGGGACGAAAGCUAGGGGAGCGAAUGGG
rnacentral:rRNA from 1 species